UGUUGACAUGCUCGCCGAAGAUCUGAUGCCCGCGACUGCGCAGGAUAUCCAUACCGUGGCGGAAGCGCCGUCCAUGUACUCUGGUUGAUAU